GGGAAGCUGAGACAGUCAGUACUUGCAGAACAGGUGCUUCUCUUUUAGAUGUGGAAAUUCAAGCCACUGAAAAAAAAUUUAGAAGAGACCUGUGGAACAGUGGACUUCUGGGCUGACCCAAGCACAGACUGUACACAUCAGACAAUUUGGAAAGCACCUGGCAGUCACUGUGGAGAAGGAUCUCUGAUUAGCUUGCUGCCGGUCCACUGAUGAUGCUCACCUGCAGGACUCAGCCCACCCAAUUUCUACCUGGAUCUUGUACUGGGGUGUGGGUGCCCCCCGCAGGAUUGCUUCCCCCAGGGGUCUGUGCUGAGGUACAAGAUCACCAGACUUACCUAGGGCAAAUGAAAGAAGUACAGCCAGGCAGGAUCUGAACUGUAUUGACCAGGGAAGUGAAAGUCAAAACUGUAGAGGUGGUUCCAAGCAUCAAGUUUGGUGAAGGAUGAGGUGAGAUGUCAACAGCAAGAUGCAUCAGCAGAGCAGAAGGAAGAAGGAAGCAGAACCCAAGGCAGCUUGAGGCAAGUUGACCAGAAGAGAGGAUAUGAAAUGGAUGGACGUGUCAGAGGUCCAUUUCUACUUGACGGAGACAAAUCCUCAAGGAGACAUUGUAAUUUCCUUUGAAAUAUUGGAAAGCAGCAAUCAUGUGGACUGUAGAGUAAGACGGGCCAGGAUGGAAUCCCAGUCAGGCUU